GCGCCUCCAGAGGAGAUCGCGGCUACUUAGGAAGCGCAGGCGGCGGCAGACCUGGCCCAGACGGCCCAAGGCCUGCGCGUCCAGGAGCCUGGAGUACUGACAACCCAGAAGGAUCCUGGUCCAAAAUGACAAAGUAGCCCUCCAUGAACAGUGGAACAGGAAAAUAGGACUCCGGUGUUGUGUCAUUCUUUCUUACAGUACAUACCCGCUUUACAGAAGCCUGAAAUGCUUGGGAAAAUUUCUCCUUCAAAAUUAAAAAUGGGUUCUGCUGUUAUACAGGGACAAGGUCCGAAUAGCAGGUGUCUCCUUGCACCAUGUGACAGCCGUAUUCCAGUGGAGAGUAAUCUAAGGAAACUACUUGGUGUAGUCCAGAAGGAGCCUGAGUGCAAAGUAACACGUGCAGUGUGACCCUCUAGGAUACCAGGACCAAGGCAUGGUUUCAGCUCCGGGGACUGCUAUGGAGCUGUCAGCUGUGCAUCACUGGCACUAGUUUUCCCAGCAAUGCUGAAGGAAGUGCAUAUAUAGGUGUCUGCUGGAGCAAGAACCAAGGAAAAUUCUGAACCAUUACUAAAACUUCAAGGAUCCCAAUCCUUUCACAGCCCAUGACCACUCUGAGCCUCUAGAAAACAGGGAAGGCUUCCCUGAUUAAGCAGCAGACCAUUCCAGCAUCAUGGCUUGCAGCGUUUGUAAGCUAAAAGACUGGGGGGCUUACACCAGUAAAGCUUGUGCUUUGACAGUGUAAGUCAAUGAAAUCCAGCUUGGAAAAAACACUGUUUCAACCUGCUGUCAACUUUUUUUAUCUGGUUUAUCUGGUUUUUGUUGGGUUUUUUUUCUAUCUUCAAGAGGUUUUAUUAUUUGUAGUGCCCUCAAA